UCCUAUGAUGGCAUGGAAUCUUUGAGACCUGAUUGUCUAUUUUGAUGACAAUUAUAAGCAUCUUUUUCUGAGGGC